UAUUCAACCAGCCUCACAGAAAGGUCCAUAUGGCAAGGGACUAAGCCUACCUGCCAGUAGUCAGCAAGGAGCUGAACUGAGGCAUCCUGCCAAUAGCCAUGUGAAUGAGCCAACUUGGAAGCAGAUCCUCUAGUUCCAGUCAAGCCUUCAGAUGACUGUAACUCUGAUUAGCAUCUUGACUACAACCUCAUGAGAGGUGCUGAGGCAGAAUCAUGCAGCUAAGCAACCCUCAAAUUCCUGACCCAGAAAAACUAUGAGAACAGAAGUGGCCACCUGUGGUGUUGCUUGGUGAACUGAUUGUCCAGAUCUCAGCCAGCUGACUAGAAAGACUGAAAAGGAAGCAGUCUUUGGUUAAAGAAAGGAUUCCUAAAUUUCUGAAGUUGGACUCUGCUGAUUGUAGGAAAAGAUUGGAUGAUAUCAGAAACCAAAGAAGCUUCUAAAGAGUGAUCUUUCCUUCCCUUUUGUGCUCAACCCACAAUCUCUUUGCGCACAGUUUUUUUGACCAAAGAAGCUGUUUGAUCAACUUGGAAUAUGUUAGCUGAAAAUAAAUCUA